rnacentral:rRNA from 1 species
UACGAAGGGGGCUAGCGUUGCUCGGAAUUACUGGGCGUAAAGCGUGCGCAGGCGGUUCGUUAAGUCAGAUGUGAAAGCCCCGGGCUCAACCUGGGAACUGCAUUUGAAACUGGCGGGCUUGAGUGUGGCAGAGGGGGGUGGAAUUCCGCGUGUAGCAGUGAAAUGCGUAGAGAUGCGGAGGAACACCGAUGGCGAAGGCAGCCCCCUGGGCCAACACUGACGCUCAGGCACGAAAGCGUGGGGAGCAAACAGG